rnacentral:rRNA from 1 species
ACGUUCGGAUUGCAGUCUGCAACUCGAGUGCAUGAAGCUGGAAUCGCUAGUAAUCGCGAAUCAGAAUGUCGCGGUGAAUACGUUCCCGGGUCUUGUACACACCGCCCGUCACACCAUGGGAGCCGACAACGCCCGAAGUCAGUGACCUAACCGAGAGGGAGGAGCUGCCGAAGGCGGGGUUGGUAACUGGGGUGAAGUCGUAACAAGGUAGC